GGAGCGCGUUUCAUAACCUCUGAAAUGGGCAGUUCGGAGUUUGGAGGUGGGGGCGGGAAGGGAAGACGGGAGAGAGAGAGAGAAGACCCUACUUUUUCUGGGGGCUGCGAUUUUGUUUUGAAGUCCCCAACCAGGAGGAGGGAGUGGCGAUUGCUUGCGAAGCGCAGUUGAUGCAUUGCAAGAGGCCAAGUCUCCUGGGUCAGCUCUGCAUGUACUCGCAGGCAGCCCUUAGUCAACCUAUAGCCCUUCAGCUCGGCGUUGACUCUUCGUCGUUAUGCUUCCCCCGGUGAAAUGACGCUCCCGGAAAGUAUUUGCAUGCAGAGUACAAAAUGUUCCGGAUCUGAAAUGAUUGCUCAUGAAAUGAGCAGCGCGAGCAAUCCCAGGCAAGUUUGCUCGGAAGAACCAAAGUGCCAGGGAAAGGCGUAGCUGGUAGGUGAGCUGUCCCCUUACUUAGAGGGAGCAGGACCUAUGGAAGAACCUGGUGGAAGUGGCCUUUUGGGUGUGGUGUGGACAACGCAGCAGUAGGGGACAAUGGUGGCAUAAUUUACUGGGUGGCUGUCAGGCUUACUUGGGUGGCCAUGGGACAGCCUUCCCCUUGCACUAAAAAUGCACUAAAUAACAUGUAUCUGGUAACCUGUGAGCCAUCAGGAUAAUUCAGUUCCCCUGCUGUUUGUCCCCCAUCACAGGAGUGGAAUGGCCAAUCCAUAGGCCUGUUUAGGUCCCCCAGGCUUCCCCAUUUGGCCCACCAGACCAUUUGGGCCAAGGCACAACCCUGAGAUCAGGUGUGGGGCAGGCAGGGCUGGGCCAAAGGGAGGUCAGAAUUGGAAGAUGCUUUGAAGCCCCAAACAGUCAGCAGAUUGAACUUUAAAGUGCAAAUUGCAAGCACCAAUGAUCAGCUGAUUGUCAGUGCUUGAAGAUGAGUGGCACUAGAGAGUUCUGCUUUGGAAAGAAAGAAAAAAUGCUCCAGUUAAAGGAGCAUUAAGAGGAAGUUGCUGUAGGCCCUGAUGGGCAGUUACAGGGACCUUAGAAUCAUAGAAUCAUAGAGUUGGAAGAGACCACAAGGGCCAUCGAGUCCAACCCCCUGCCAAGCAGGAAACACCAUCAGAGCACUCCUGACAUAUGGUUGUCAAGCCUCUGCUUAAAGAUCUCCAAAGAAGGAGACUCCACCACACUCCUUGGCAGCAAAUUCCACUGUCGAACAGCUCUUACUGUCAGGAAGUUCUUCCUAAUGUUUAGGUGGAAUCUUCUUUCUUAUAGUUUGGAUCCAUUGCUCCGUGUCCGCUUCUCUGGAGCAGCAGAAAACAACCUUUCUCCCUCCUCUAUGUGACAUCCUUUUAUAUAUUUGAACAUGGCUAUCAUAUCACCCCUUAACCUCCUCUUCUCCAGGCUAAACAUGCCCAGCUCCCUUAGCCGUUCCUCAUAAGGCAUCGUUUCCAGGCCUUUGACCAUUUUGGUUGCCCUCCUCUUUGACCUUCUUUGUCAGCUGUUAAAGUUCAAUCAUCCAAUGUGAUUAGAACAUAAAGUGAUUGGCAGGUAGGUGCUCCCACUCUCCUGCCAAAGUUGAGAGGGUGAGGAGAAUCUACCAUCUUGAAUUCAGAAUGCAAUAAAACUGUAAUAGUCUCUUAGAGUUUGUUUGUUUUUUAAAAUAAGAAUCUUCAUUUACAUCUAUCAAGCUUAAAUGUUAUGUUUCCAUCUCUAAAAUGGGCACAUGUGUUUUGGGAAAGUCUUCUACUUUCUUAAUUACUUGAUGAUAUGUCAGGUUUCACGAACUUCAUUGCAUUAUUUGCUCUGCACAUAGUGCGAUUUCCUGCUUUCCAUUUGGGGUGCAAGUUGUGUUGGUCUGCGGUUGCUGAAUGCCAUGUGUGGAUAGAAUCGACUCGUGUCAGGGGACUUGUAAGUACAAGCAAUGGAUGGAUGAGGUGGAAAAGGGGGGAUCUGUGUGAACAAGAGUGGUGGUACUGCUUACCUGGGUUUGGUUUCCUUUGGAGCAGAGAACACUGGAGACAUGAUAUUUUUGAAUAUUUGAGUUUCUUUACAAAUAUGCAUGUAGAACAUGGACGGAGACAAACUAAACAUGCCCAAAACAGCAUUUUUCCCCACAUCAGAUCUCCAGGUGCUUACAACUCCAGGCGUGAGUCUCAAGGCACAAUUUCUCUUUUGUUCCUUUUCACAGACACACCCACCUUCAUUCAAUUAAGUCAAGGGGCCUCAGGAAAUACUCUGAAUAAUCCAAAGAUUUAGGUACCAAGAACCCAUCUUUUAACACUCACAGACAUUCAUUAAGGAACACCAAGCAGCCAUUACACAAGAAUAUAAGAAGUGUCAAAGGGCCCUCUAGCCCAGCAACCUGUUUUCUCAGCAUAUGGGAAUCUCACAGGUGAUUAUGGAAAGCUCUCAAGGAGCCUCACCAUUCUUUUUCCUGACAAAGCAUAUGAGCUGAGUGACGGGCAGGGCUUGGCCACCUUUCAUAACACCAUUGUAGUCAGCACUGGCGAAAGAGGGCAGAGGCAGAUGGGCACAAUAUCGGGGAGUCUCAGAAAAACAGUUCACACACAUUCAUUGCUGAGCUUAGAGCCAGUUUGCAUGUUACCACACAGAAGCCAUCACAGGAAAUGUUUUCUCAGACCAUGGACUCCAUUCCAAAGCAAGACUUUCAAAAUGGUCUUCAGUGUAGGAAAUCAAGAGCUGUCUUCAUUCUCUUGGGCAUAACAUGAAUUUCCCACCGUUCACCAAUGUCUUUUGAUGCAAAGUUUGCUAAUCGUACACUAUCUUAUGUAUCCUUCCCCUUAGCAUUCAAAGUUACACAUGACUUCCCACCCCCCUCACAAAGACGUUAUCAGGGGUAAUUUCAAAGAAGAAAAUUGGAAUAGUUGAUUGCCAUGGAAACAAACUCUCUACGCAUUACAUCGUCAUGCAGAUCGUGGAAUAAAUGCAUUUUAAGAUGUGAAAUGCUACCAAGGGUGCUGGUGUGCUUAUGCAGUAAAAUAAGCAGAUAUCUCAGGGAGGGGAACUUGGUCCCCUCGGAAUGUUGCAGAACUGCAGCUCCCAACAACCCUCUCCAUUUGCCAUGCUGACUGGGACUGAUGGGAUAUGGAGUCCAGCCAAAGGUUUCCGCAUCCAUGCCUGAUAUUGUGAGGUUAACAGCCUGUCUUUUUUGUUGUUGUUGGUUGGUUGAUUUUUCUUGUUCUGUAGAGGGCCGUGCAUAUUGAUGGUUGUGUUAUAUAACUAAUUAAUAACAAUGUUAUUAACGACAAAGUAUACGUAAGCAUUCCUAACUUAUCUAAUUGUUUUAACAAUACUCAACAUAUUUUUUUUAAAAGUAUUUUUUUAAGGAAGUGGCAUGCCCCACUUCCCUUGCUAGUAAGAAAUUUGAGAGGUUUGCCACUUAUUGCUCUGUUUCCUUGCAAUAAAAAAAAGGUGAAGAUUUAUGGUGUAUUUGUAAUUUCUAGUUAUUUUCAAAUAUGCCAGCAUAGCAUAUUGAGACCAAUGAGAUUUACAUCAGACAGAAUAAAUGCAAUCCUGUUUUGCAUUCCCCAUUAGCAAUAGUUGCAUCCCUCCUUCAGACAGCUCCAGCUCUCAGUCUGUCAUUGUCCAAAUUCAAACUGCCAUUCCUUUGUUUUUCUGCCGCACACAAAGUUUGUUUUCAGUUGUGAUUGGAAGGCAUGGUUUCCCACUACAUGAGGGAGCCUACCAUGCUCCACCUCCCCUUAUUUCCUGUUUCACACCCCAAGAUGGAUAUUAUAAGCUUCACUGACUGGUUUCAAACAAGCCAUGGCGUUAUGAUGUUUGAACUUUGGGAACUCUGGUUUGUUUAAACCCUGGUUUGAGAGUAAGAUCAAAACACUGGUAUAAAGGGACAGCAGCAACUGAUUCAAAAGUUGGCAGUCCUAUUUGAAAUCAAGCAACACUGCCAAAACUUACAACAGUAUGAGUUAAUAUGAACUGGGGCUGAUUGGGGAAUAUAUUCUAGUAUUGGAGAGUGUGAUUUGGCCAUAACUGGUGCUUGACUGAACAACAGAAUACAAAAUAUGAUACCUUUUAAUGAAAUGCGAAAUGAUCUCUAUACUGUAGAUGUUUCCUUUAUGCAACGUUGGAAUUUUAAACAGGUUUAUUAGGCACACCCAUUAAGAAACAAAUCUAUUACUGAGACUUAAGAUGUGAUUGCAACAAGCAGACCAGAAGCAUACAGACUCCUGUAAAGAGACAUCAAAGCCGUUGAUUUGUUAUCAGAUUCCAAGAGAGAGCCCUAAGGUGCUUUACUUUCAACCAGACUCUUUCUCUCUCAAUCUCUCUCCCUCUUUGCACUGGGCCCGGGGGUAACCCAUGAAACAUGGUCCAGGACCAGUCUAGAACCCAAAGGUUCCGCUGGGAGUCAGUCUGACAGGUCCAAGGCAGGACACGAGGCAAGGACAGGUGCAGGAUCUAGCAUACAGCAAUGUUGCUCCUGCAACCUGGGGCGGGGUCCGACAGCCUUUUAUCUUUGUCGGGGUAGAUGCCGGUACUGAUCUCCUGGCGACUCACCUCCCUGUCUCGCCCAAAGGUGAGCACUCCUCCUGCGAGUACUCAGGUCUCUCCUUCUCUCAGACCUUAGUCUCUGAAGCUCAGGAGACGUCAGUGGGUUACUAGACCCAGAGACCACCUCAGCCUCCCCUGACCAAACCGGCAAUGGAGCAGCUGUAAGUGAUGGCCCAGCUGAAGGCAACAAGGUAAUUCUCGCAUCUGGAGCCAGGGCAGGCUCAGGCCCCUGACUCUGCCCAGCUGGUGUUUGUUGCAGGGGAACCUGUGUAGACUGGGACUCUUCAGGAUCAGGCCCCAGACUUGGCUCAGAUGAUACCUGAGGCAAAGGAUCCGGUGCAGACUGAGUCUCCUCUGGUUCCAAGUCCGAGCCUGAGUCCCAGGCCAUCACACUCUUGGAGGUCACUUGCACAUCACCCCCUCCCCCCCCCCCAGGGACAGAAGAGGAUACAGACUUGCAUAAAAUCUGCACAUUAUAAUUUAUAUAAGAUGCCAGCUUUAGAAAUAAUUAUGAUAGUUUAGAUGGGGUGAGGAUCCGCUGGCCCAUGGGCCAAAGGAAACCCACCUGGGAUCCCAACUUGACCCACAAAACUAUUUCCACCAAAACAUGCCCCCUACCCCUCACCUGACGUCAUCAGGUAUGGGGCAGCAAAGGAUGUGGCCGCAAACUUAACCAUGAGUUUAAAGUGAGCUUGAAGAAUCCGACUGCUCCUACUGCAGUAGCAAUUAGAAUGAUGGAAGAUGGUACCGUUGAGAAUGAAUUAUCCACGCGAAAUUUUACUCUGAGCAAACUUCUGUCAGUUGCACUUUUUAAAAGAACCCCAUAAUAAAUCCAUUUGAUUUCAGUCACACAAUCAGGGUUGCGACUGUAUCUGAGCAUGAAAGCUUUUGGUCGAACACUACCACAGGGAUUGAGAUGGUUGGGCAACAAAUCCCCUUAUUUAUUUAUUCUUUAAAAACCCUCACCAACAGACGGCAUCCGAAUCAGGAAAGAAGUGGAUGAAAAAAAAUGGCCCAACAUUAAAAUUGGUGAGAAAUACAAGUGAUUUGAAAUCUAUUGGGGAGACGGGGCAACCACAUUGACUCUUGGAUGAAUGCUCCCUUGCUAUCCCUCUUGCUGUUCUGGCUUCUGGGAUAGCUGCACAUCCUGCACUCGCUCCAUAAGACGCACACACAUUUCCCCUUACUUUUUAGGAAGGAAAAAGUGAGUCUUAUAGAGCAAAAAAUACGGUAAAUCAAAUUGAUUUAAAUCACAAUUUAAAUCACUAUUCAGUGAGACUUGAUUUAAAUCUUUUUUUAAAAAAGAAAGACUCAUUCUUGCUGGUAUAAUCUUAAUAUUUACAACCAGAUGAAGGUUUCAUUUUUUGGAAUAAUAAGUAGUAUUUACAGUUUAUAUCAAAAAUUACUGAUUUGGUUAUACUAUUAGAAAUACAUAUACAAUUAUGAAAUUAUUGUGAGGUUUAAUAAGUUAACUGUUUAUAUUUGGACAGUUUUUCUGCUGUACUUUAUUUCCUUAAUAACAAUUAAACAAUUUAUUUAACUAAAAGAAUAACAUUAUAGCAUCUGUAUCCAUGUUUGUUAGCUGAUGUGGUUAAACAAUUUUUUUUUAAAGAAAACUUAGACUGAGUUUUAGCACACAUGAAAAACUUGAAACAAAUCCAUAUUUCCUGUUGAAUAGCCUUUGGACUAUAACGUAACUUAAAUAGAAAACUAUCUUUUGAAAGAUUUUUCCUCCAAAAGCAUUUUAAUUUAAAAAUCCAAUUUAAAUUUUAAAAAAUCCGAUUAAAAUUUUUUAAAAUCUGAUUUUUGAUUUUUUUUAAAAUCAUUGAUUUUUAUCCACUCUGCCUGGAAGGAAGUCCCAUUGAAUUCAGUAGAAGGUACUUCUAAAUAAGCAUGUGCAGUCCUGGCUUAGAAUAAAAUACUUAGGGUUGCGUGACACAUACAGCCUUGCCCUGGAUGUUUCGCCACUUGUGGGAGUGGAAGCAGGCUUCCAUCAAGCCAAAACAUGAGGGAAUUGUGGGGAAUUGUUGAUGAGACUCCAUCAUCUGUGCAAAAUUCUCAUCUUUCCAAAGCCUGCAGGUGGGUGGACUGCUAUUUAGAAGAACUCACUGUAGACAGAAAUGCUAACCAGCUCUUAAAUUGGGACAAAUAUGUAAUCUGUGGGGUUCUCCUCACCACCAUCACCGUCAUGUACUUAAGGCACUGCGUGAAUCAUACUUGUUUUAAUGAUUCAGCAAUCACAGGGAGUCUGAACACCAGCUUUUGCACACGUCGGGAGGUUGCUACAUAACAGGAACUUUCAAGUUAUGUCACAGCAAAGCCUACCAUCUCAGCAAGGGAAGAACAAAACAUUUAUGGAGUUCUAUGUCCUUCCAAAGCACUUUGGUCAAGCCUAGAGACCUACAACCCACCCUGUGGGCUUUUCCCAAGGUGUACCUUCAAGUGCAUUUAAAAAGCAGGUUCCAAUUGUAGAAAAAUGAAACUUUUCUGGGAAAGAAUGCAAUUGAUGCACCAACAUGCGGAAAACCAUGAAGCCUUUUCACAAAAACAGAAAUGUUUCUACAGAUCUGAUAAAUUUUGGGAAAGGAACUCUUGCAGGUAAUGUUGCCCAUUAAAAGGUGGGGGAAGCAGAACUGGAUUUUGAUUGUUUUGUACUUUUAGCAUUAGAGCUGUGAGAAGUCGCUUCUGGCAUGAAAACCAUCAACAUAGUUUCUAAUCAUUAUGUGCAUCGCGCAAGUGCAGGCAACGAUUGAUUCAGCAAAGAUAUGACAGUCCGGUCAGGUUGACCUGGCUUGCAGUUCAGCUCUUUAUGGCUCAUCCUCCUUUCCCAAGUGGCUUUGGUCACAUUCACACACCAUCCAUUUGAAGCAUGGCUUCUCCCAAAGAAUCCUGGGAAUUGUAGUUCACCCCUCACAGAGAUUGCGAUUCUCAGCACUCAUAGCAAACUGUACUCCCCAAGGUACUUUGAAGGAAGCCACGCACUUUCUUUGAAGACCUCUUUUUCCCUCUCUCUGUCCUUUGGUUCAAACCCUUGCCUCUGACCAUGUGCCUUUUCAAUCCCUUGAAAUAGCAAAGCAUAGUUACAUUUAAUUUUGAAAAAUAUAUAUAUAUCAUCUGUCUGGUUCUCUCCACGUCAUACAGAAAAUUACUUUGAGGACUGGAGGAAAGCUGGCAAGGUGGUGUCCCAGUUACAGGAAAAGGGGUUUCUGGGGAUCAGUGCUGGACCCUCUUGCUAGGGCCAUGGGUUUAAGGAUUCCCAAGGAUGCCAGCCACUAGAAUCUCCCUGAUUCUUCUUCCUCAUAAGAACUUUGCUUUCUGGCCAGCUCACAAAUUUUAUAGACACUGAUUAUGACCGCUACAAACUAAAUGGGCUCAUGUGCUUCUGUUGCUGCUACUAUUAAACCCAUUUCACAACAAGCUGCAUCUACUGGUAGUCAUUCACAUGAUAGCUAUCCAAAUGCCAAAACCACAGAUACCUUCCCUUCCAUAAGGGUGCCCUACCGUAACAUUCCUCCGAGUGUUCAGAACAGAAAUCCAUUAGAAUACAAUCACAACAUUGCUACCCAGAUGUUAUUUGACAUGGUUUUUAGAGUUAUAGAUCUUCAUGACAUGCACACAUAGAUGCAGACCAACAAUACAGACUUUGUUUUUCAGACAGUGCCUGACGCACAGAGAUCCUGCAAUUAUUCCUCUAUGCGUGAGCUCGCCUGAGUAUUUCUUAUAAUUAAGUAAGAUGCUGCUAUGGUUGUUGUUCAGAUGUUCUGUUCAGGGACUCCUAAAGAAAACCUGUGUGUGAUGACAUGGUUAUAUAAAUAUGAGUGGAUGCAUGUAAACAAGAUAUCUCUUAAGUAAUCAUUACUGGCUCUCUUGCUUUCUCUGCUCCACCCUUCAAUGCCUUAUAUAACAGGCAUUUGGUUUAUAUACUGGUUAUUUUAUGCAAGGUUGUGUGUCAAAGGGGGUAAUGAAAUACAUGUGGGUGUUUUUCAAUCCUAGUAAAGGGAUUGGCUGGUUGGCUAGAACCCUGGAAAGGGUGUUACGUUAUACAGCCAGGUUAUACAGCAACCAAUCACCUAUACUUGGCCAAUUUAAAUAACAAAAAACCAGGCUCCUUUGGUAGGUUAAGCUGGGGUUAGCCAGUAUGAUGACCACCUGAGGUUGCUGGACUCCAAACUCCCAUCAUCCAUGACCUUGCUGGCUGGAGCUGAUGAGAAUCCAAUAUCAUUGGCUACCCCUGACUUGAAUAGUUCUGCUGUCCAGACCCCAGAGCCUUAGAGCCAUUAAGCUGCAAGGGACUUGAAGGUCAUCUAGCUCAUUCCAUUCCCAUUGCGGGGGGGGGGGGCGGGGAAGGCAGGAUAUAAAUAUGAUAAAUGAAUCUAUGCCUAAAAGCACAAAGAGCUUCUCUCCAAAUUGCCUUCCUACUGUCGAUCCACAUGACUUAAAAAAAAACAACAUUUUUUCUAAUUGGGUUUCAAGAUAAGAAUACAAAUAUAAAGAAAAAAGAAAACCUAUAACCAAACUUAUCCCCUGCAACAUUAGAAUCAUAGGGAAAUGACUGCUUGAGACCAGUGUGACUUGCCACAAAGCAAGUUCAGAGCUCAGUAGGAACUGGAACUUAGGUGAUCCAAGUCUAUGAGUCUCCACAUGUGGAAUCAGAGAAACCCACAACAAAACACAUUCCCCUCUUCUACUUUAUAGAAGUAGACAUGCUUCAUUUAUGUAAAAUGGAUUCAAGUUGCAAGAGAUUCCAACUAAACAUCAGGAAUAACUUUGUAACAGUAAGACCUCUUUGACAAUAGAACAGUCUCCCUUAGAAGACAGUGGACUCUCCUUCCUGGAAGGUUUUUAAGCAGAGGUUGGAUGGCCACCUGUCGUGCAUGAUCUAGUUGAGAUUCCUGCAUUGCAGGGGGUUGGACUAGAAUCAUAGAAUCAUAGAAUCAUAGAGUUGGAAGAGACCACAAGGGCCAUCGAGUCCAACCCCCUGCCAAGCAGGAAACACCAUCAGAGCACUCCUGACAUAUGGUUGUCAAGCCUCUGCUUAAAGACCUCCAAAGAAGGAGACUCCACCACACUCCUUGGCAGCAAAUUCCACUGUCGAACAGCUCUUACUGUCAGGAAGUUAUUCCUAAUGUUUAGGUGGAAUCUUCUUUCUUGUAGCUUGGAUCCAUUGCUCCGUGUCCGCUUCUCUGGAGCAGCAGAAAACAACCUUUCUCCCUCCUCUAUGUGACAUCCUUUUAUAUAUUUGAACAUGGCUAUCAUAUCACCCCUUAACCUCCUCUUCUCCAGGCUAAACAUGCCCAGCUCCCUUAGCCGUUCCUCAUAAGGCAUCGUUUCCAGGCCUUUGACCAUUUUGGUUGCCC